rnacentral:rRNA from 1 species
CCUACGGGUGGCAGCAGUGGGGAAUAUUGGACAAUGGGCGAAAGCCUGAUCCAGCCAUGCCGCGUGUGUGAAGAAGGCCUUCGGGUUGUAAAGCACUUUCAGUGGGGAAGAAAGCCUUGGGGCUAAUACCCUCGAGGAAGGACAUCACCUACAGAAGAAGCACCGGCUAACUCCGUGCCAGCAGCCGCGGUAAUACGGAGGGUGCGAGCGUUAAUCGGAAUUACUGGGCGUAAAGCGCGCGUAGGCGGUCUGAUAAGCCGGUUGUGAAAGCCCCGGGCUCAACCUGGGAACGGCAUCCGGAACUGUCAGGCUAGAGUGCAGGAGAGGAAGGUAGAAUUCCCGGUGUAGCGGUGAAAUGCGUAGAGAUCGGGAGGAAUACCAGUGGCGAAGGCGGCCUUCUGGACUGACACUGACGCUGAUGUGCGAAAGCGUGGGUAGCAAACAGGAUUAGAUACCCGGGUAGUC